CAUUAUCAACCGAACUCCGCUUUUUUUCCCGUUUUUCUGUUAGUAAUAGUUAAUCGUUGCAUACAAAUAUACAUUAAAUUUACUCUCUACUACCUUCCCAAUUUCUCACCUACAACAGUGGCCCACUGAUCGUGCGAAGUAUGCCUGUCUUUUUUAUAUUGUGUACAAACACUUUACCAGAAAUCUUGCUCCGAAGUAUCAAGUUUAGCACAUUUUCUGAAAAGGAAUUUUUCUGGGGUGAUACUUUAGGAAGUGCUGUUUUGAUUUUUCAAGGAGUUUUCUGAACAAAUAGGAAGAACUGGACAAAAACAGGAAAAUGUAUGAAAAUAAUGAUUUUUAUUUUAAUUUUGUUAUUUGUGGUAAUUCAGUUAAAUAUAUUCGUAGAGACUUAAAAUGUAGGAAAAAGUUUAUAUUCGAUAUUUCUAGACGUGGUAAAAUUAUCAAAAAAAUUAAGCCAUUUUUGAGAUAUUUAUAGACAUUUUAAUUUUGCAAGUUAGUACAUAA